UACGUAGGGUGCAAGCGUUGUCCGGAAUUAUUGGGCGUAAAGAGCUCGUAGGCGGUCUGUCGCGUCUGCUGUGAAAACUCAGGGCUUAACCCUGAGCUUGCAGUGGGUACGGGCAGACUAGAGUGCGGUAGGGGAGACUGGAAUUCCUGGUGUAGCGGUGAAAUGCGCAGAUAUCAGGAGGAACACCGGUGGCGAAGGCGGGGUCUCUGGGCCGGUACUG
rnacentral:rRNA from 1 species